ACUGGUAUCAGAGCCAUUCCUUAACUUAGUCAUGUCAACAAAAUCCUCAAAUGUCGAACGAAAAAGUUGUGAGUCUCAAAGGUGUAGUAAAAAAGUGACCCCAAGUGUCGAAAAAAGGGUGUGUCCUUUGUUCGA